CAAGGAGUCACAGACAUUACAGACUUCUCAGAUUAUCUAGAUGCUGAUACGUGAUGAGCCAUGCUUUGGGUCACCUGACAGAGGGAGGCUGACCAUAUGUCUGGGACACAUGCUGGGCGUGAUGAGCCCAAUGUGGGACCUGCCACUCGGAUGACGAUACACCAGUGUUGUGGUCAGCACUACGAUAACCCUGUACUUACGGAGAAGCGCUUGAUAUACAUCUCUCAGGAAGUGGUGAAAUUAAGUGUGGUGCUGGAAGCCAGAUGUAUACUCCAGGUGCUGACCUCUCUGCCUCUCUCUUAGACUUCAGCAGCAAGGACGGUGCUUGUUCCCCAAGCUGAGAAGCUUUAAAGACCUCAAGCCAGCUCAGCAGAUGUUGUUUCAUCAGAUGAACUCCAGCACAGAUUGUAUAUUCCUGGCAACGUAGGGAACUACUGUACAAGAAAAACAAACUUUGAUUACUGUUGACAAAUUGUGAAAAAGCAACAGAUUGACUCACAGGUAUAGAGCAAUAUAUGUCUCGAUGCUCUGCUGCCAAAGGAGCUGCGGCACUGCCAGUUUAACAAAACGUGAAAACCAACAAUCUUCAGGUCAGUUAUAAAUCCUACUUGAUGGCUGGGAGAGAAGGGAAGAAAACGACAUACAAGCUUCCAACACAAAUGGAAUGAAUAUUGUCCUUGGACGCAGAGUCUCACAGAACCUACAGUAAUCUUCAGUGGAAUAAAUGUAUCACUGAGAAAAAAGAAAUGGACCUUUUAUGCUCGCGUAAAUCUGAAGAAUUUCUCCUGUAAUCCCUGGUUUUGCUUCAUUGACUUCAGUGGAAUUAUUUAUACUGGUAUCAGUGAAAUCAGAAUUGAGCCAUAUAUUGACAGUAUAUUCGUAUCUCUCCAAAGGCUCUUCUUGAAAUGUAUUCUCAAAGAUGAGAUUAUCAAAACCCUGGCCACUGUUGUCCCAAGUCUACUAUUGAUAAAUUCAGUGAUGAAUUUCUUGUUGGCUCAACUGGGGUGAGAGAAGGACAGUGCUGAGCCUAUUUUCCUAAUUCAACUGAUAGCACACAACUGUGUGACAAGCAAGGAACAAAAGAUAAACAGUAGAAAGGCAAGGUAAUACAAGUUAGUACAAUAAUAAUAAUUGUUAAUACAAUUAAUACAAGCUAGUAACUGUAUAAGCCUCCCCUAACUGCUAUAAACCAAAGCAAAUGAUUAGGGUCUUCUGUUUGUUCCACAUCAAUACUUUUCAAUGUUAUUCUUCAGAAUAUUACGUUCUGCAGUCUUCUCUGUUAGACUGUGAAAUUCCUUGUGCCUCUCUUCUUAAAUUAUUGGCAGAAGACCUUUCUCAGAAAAUCAGUCAUUGAACUUUCAUAUUUCCUUUGUGCUUUCCUCAUUAAGUUAUGAAAGUAAGAAAGGUCUGACUGCAAAUCUUUAAUUAAUAAAUCAGAGGAAAUUCUGCAACUGCAUGAAACAUGAUUCAUGUCUGCCUCUUGACUAUCCAUAGCAUUUUAGAUUUGAUUUUUAUAAAUUACCUGUGCCACCACUGUAGUGCAAAUGGAUGUGCCAUGGAUUGUAAUUACCAAGAAAGUCAAUAAUGUCUGAAUGAAAACAGUGCAUAGGGAAAGAAUUAUAGUCACAAACACCAUAUUACUUAAUAUAGUAAAUUUUAAAGAAAAGGCUUUUUUUCCCCGUAAAAUAGAACAGCUGUAUUUUCAUCAUAAUGCAGAUCAUUGACAGACUCCUCUCUUUGUGCUGGAGAGAAUGGUUCCUUGUGCUGCAGGAAUCUUUAAUGAUUAUAAUGAAUAUUAUUUUGAAUAUAUUAGAAACAGGAAGAAUUUAUGUGGAAAUAAAAUAAAUGUACAGUCCCUUUUGUUCAGUGACCAAAUCAAUUAGCCAUUUUGCAAGAAUUCAUGAAUAAUGUCAUUCAAGUCAUUUGGGGUAUGGCCUCUACUAAAAUAACAUAUUCUGUAACUGCAAAUGUAACUACUGAAAGUAAGCAUUACAUAAGAGAAAAAAGUUGCAUUUGAAAAAUGCCA